rnacentral:lncRNA from 1 species
CGAACCUUAGAAUAUAAAAUAAACCAGGAAGGAGUACAAUGCGAAAUGACUUCGAGCCAGGAAGGAGGUUGCAAAUGGCGAUCAGCUGUCAGAUUUGCUUUCUAUCUCCAGUGACGUACCUUUGAAAGAGGGAAGAAAA